ACAAGUACCGUGAGGGAAAGUUGCAAAGCACUUUGAAGAGAGAGUUAAAGAGGACGUGAAACCGGUAAGGUGGAAACGGAUAGAGUCGGCGUAUCAUUCAUGUAUUCAGUUACAUUAUUUUUAUGUUGUGACCUCUGAGCUCCAGAUUGGGACAGAGGGAAUCAGCAUAAUUUUUUGUGGUGCUUUUACUUGAUUGGUGCUUGGGGAUGUUUGAGGCAGAUUUGUUUCCGUCGUUUUGAGGCCAGCUUGCUGGUACCCAAACGGUGUUAGCAUUUUUUGUCUUGGGCAUUUGAGUAUGGCUCACGUGUAUUUAUUGGACAGAUCUGAGUGUAAGUUACGGUCGCAUGCGACACGUGCUUUUCAAUUAGUUCGGUCCAGUUAAUGCUCUCGUACUCGUUCCCCAUGUAAAAGCCGGUCAUCUAUCCGACCCGUCUUGAAACACGGACCAAGGAGUUUAUCGUGUGCGCAAGUUUUUGGGUGUUAAAAACUUAAAAGCGAAAUGAAAGUAAAUGACUCUUUAGAGUCUGAUGUGCGAUCUUGUAAAAAAGUGUAGCAUGGCCCCAUUCUAACUGUUUACAGUAGGGUGGCGGAAGAGCGUACGCGGUGAGACCCGAAAGAUGGUGAACUAUUCCUGAGCAGGACGAAGCCAGAGGAAACUCUGGUGGAAGUCCGAAGCGGUUCUGACGUGCAAAUCGAUCGUCUGACUUGGGUAUAGGGGCGAAAGACUAAUCGAACCAUCUAGUAGCUGGUUCCUUCCGA
rnacentral:rRNA from 1 species